rnacentral:rRNA from 1 species
AGUCGAGCGCACCUUCGGGUGAGCGGCGGACGGGUUAGUAACGCGUGGGAAUAUACCCUUUGGUACGGAAUAGCCUCUGGAAACGGAGAGUAAUACCGUAUGAGCCCUUCGGGGGAAAGAUUUAUCGCCAAAGGAUUAGCCCGCGUUAGAUUAGGUAGUUGGUGGGGUAAUGGCCUACCAAGCCUACGAUCUAUAGCUGGUUUUAGAGGAUGAUCAGCAACACUGGGACUGAGACACGGCCCAGACUCCUACGGGAGGCAGCAGUGGGGAAUCUUGGACAAUGGGGGCAACCCUGAUCCAGCCAUGCCGCGUGAGUGAUGAAGGCCUUAGGGUCGUAAAGCUCUUUCGCCUGUGAAGAUAAUGACGGUAGCAGGUAAAGAAACCCCGGCUAACUCCGUGCCAGCAGCCGCGGUAAUACGGAGGGGGUUAGCGUUGUUCGGAAUUACUGGGCGUAAAGCGCACGUAGGCGGACUGGAAAGUUGGGGGUGAAAUCCCAGGGCUCAACCCUGGAACUGCCUCCAAAACUAUCAGUCUAGAGUUCGAGAGAGGUGAGUGGAAUUCC